rnacentral:rRNA from 1 species
GAUGAACGCUGGCGGCGUGCCUAAUACAUGCAAGUCGAGCGAACAGAUGAGGAGCUUGCUCCUCUGACGUUAGCGGCGGACGGGUGAGUAACACGUGGAUAACCUACCUAUAAGACUGGGAUAACUUCGGGAAACCGGAGCUAAUACCGGAUAAUAUAUUGAACCGCAUGGUUCAAUAGUGAAAGACGGUUUUGCUGUCACUUAUAGAUGGACCCGCGCCGCAUCAGCUAGUUGGUAGGGUAACGGCCUACCAAGGCAGCGACGCGUAGCCGACCUGAGAGGGGGGACGGCCAUAGGGGGACUGCGCCACGGUCAAGACUGCUACGGGAGGCAGCAGUGGGGAAUAUGGCACAGUGGGCGCAAGCAUGAUGCAGCGACGCCGGGGGAGGGAGGGAGUCCUUCGGGUUGUGAACAUCUUUCGCCAGUGAAGAAGUCCGGCCUCGUUGGUGGGUGGGUUGACGGUAGCUGGAUAAGAAGCGCCGGCUAACUACGUG